GACGAACGCUGGCGGCGUGCUUAACACAUGCAAGUCGAACGGAAAGGCCCUGCUUUUGUGGGGUGCUCGAGUGGCGAACGGGUGAGUAACACGUGAGUAACCUGCCCUUGACUUUGGGAUAACUUCAGGAAACUGGGGCUAAUAACGGAUAGGAGCUCCUGCUGCAUGGUGGGGGUUGGAAAGUUUCGGCGGUUGGGGAUGGACUCGCGGCUUAUCAGCUUGUGGGUGGGGUAGUGGCUUACCAAGGCUUUGACGGGUAGCCGGCCUGAGAGGGUGACCGGCCACAUUGGGACUGAGAUACGGCCCAGACUCCUACGGGAGGCAGCAGUGGGGAAUAUUGCACAAUGGGCGGAAGCCUGAUGCAGCAACGCCGCGUGCGGGAUGACGGCCUUCGGGUUGUAAACCGCUUUCGCCUGUGACGAAGCGUGAGUGACGGUAAUGGGUAAAGAAGCACCGGCUAACUACGUG
rnacentral:rRNA from 1 species